GACGUAGGGUGCAAGCGUUGUCCGGAUUUACUGGGCGUAAAGAGCGCGUAGGCGGUCUUGUAAGUGUGAAGUGAAAUCUCCAGGGCUCAACCCGGAAACUGCUUUGCAUACUGCGAGACUAGAGGGAUGCAGAGGUUUGUGGAAUUCCUGGUGUAGCGGUGAAAUGCGUUGAUAUCAGGAGGAACACCCAUGGCGAAGGCAGCAAACUGGGCAUCAUCUGACGCUGAGGCGCGAAAGCGUGGGUAGCAAACAGGG
rnacentral:rRNA from 1 species